rnacentral:rRNA from 1 species
GACGUAGGGUGCGAGCGUUGUCCGGAUUUAUUGGGCGUAAAGAGCUCGUAGGCGGCUCGUCGCGUCGACCGUGAAAACCCGCGGCUUAACUGCGGGCUUGCGGUUGAUACGGGCGGGCUAGAGUUCGGUAGGGGAGACUGGAAUUCCUGGUGUAGCGGUGAAAUGCGCAGAUAUCAGGAGGAACACCGGUGGCGAAGGCGGCUCUCUGGGCCGUAACUGACGCUGAGGAGCGAAAGCAUGGGGAGCGAACAGG